UUACUGCCAAAAGUGGUCAUGGGGUUAUUUUUAAACAUGGGGGAGGAAGUAUUUAUUGUUCCUGGGCCGAGGUGAACUGGGCAGCCUGUGGGAUUCUUCCAGGGAAGGAGUGCCCUGUCCUUCUCCACCAUGCCACCCAAGAAAGCCAAGAAGAGAGCAGAGGGCGCCAAUUCCAAUGUGUUCUCCAUGUUUGAACAGACCCAGAUCCAGGAGUUUAAGGAGGCCUUCACCAUCAUGGACCAGAACAGGGAUGGCUUCAUUGACAAGAAUGAUCUGAGAGACACCUUUGCUGCUCUUGG